rnacentral:rRNA from 1 species
UACAGAGGUCCCAAGCGUUGUUCGGAUUCACUGGGCGUAAAGGGCGCGUAGGCGGCUCAUGAAGGCUGUGGUGAAAGUCCGGGGCUCAACCUCGGAUCGGCCGUGGCGACUCGUGGGCUGGAGCACUGUAGAGGCGGGUGGAAUUCCGGGUGUAGCGGUGGAAUGCGUAGAGAUCCGGAAGAACACCAGUGGCGAAGGCGGCCCGCUGGGCAGUGGCUGACGCUGAAGCGCGACAGCGUGGGGAGCAAACAGG